CAGAGUUUGAUCCUGGCUCAGAUUGAACGCUGGCGGCAUGCUUUACACAUGCAAGUCGAGCGGCAGCGCGGGGGCAACCCUGGCGGCGAGCGGCGAACGGGUGAGUAAUGCAUCGGAACGUAUCCUGGAGUGGGGGAUAACCCAGCGAAAGUUGGGCUAAUACCGCAUGAGCUCUGAGGAGGAAAGCGGGGGAUCGAAAGACCUCGCGCUGCAGGAGCGGCCGAUGUCCGAUUAGCUAGUUGGUGGGGUAAAGGCUUACCAAGGCGACGAUCGGUAGCUGGUCUGAGAGGAUGAUCAGCCACACUGGGACUGAGACACGGCCCAGACUCCUACGGGAGGCAGCAGUGGGGAAUUUUGGACAAUGGGGGCAACCCUGAUCCAGCCAUGCCGCGUGAGUGAAGAAGGCCUUCGGGUUGUAAAGCUCUUUCGGACGGAACGAAAUGGGCGGGACUAAUACUCCUGUCCGAUGACGGUACCGUAAGAAGAAGCACCGGCUAACUACGUGCCAGCAGCCCCGGUCAA
rnacentral:rRNA from 1 species